UGAGGGUUAGACUACAGGAAUCCUGGAGUCUCUUUCAACUCUAAAUCUUGUGACUUUUGAUGGUUUAGGAGCUGGUGACAUUCCAGGAUGUGGCUGUGGACUUCACCCAGGAGGAGUGGGGCCUCUUGGACCCUCCUCAGAAGGAGCUGUACAAGGAGGUCAUGCUGGAGAUUGCUCGGAACCUGCUGUCGCUGGCUCCCACAAUAAAUGCUGUGGAAACCUCACUUAAGGAGUCCUGGGAACCAUCCUGUCCUCCUUGUUUGCAAGGCCCUGUCGAUGGCAGGAAUAACAGACUGGCCAAGAGUCAGAAUUUGGACUAACUAAGGUUCACUGAGUUUCCCAGCUGGAGAAUCUCACCAGAAGAGGCCAAGACUCCCUGAAUGGACAGCAACAAGGGCUGCCAGUUCCCAGAGAAGAUUUGAUCUCUUAUUUGGAGGAAAGGGAAGCACCAUGGCUGCUGGAGCUAGAAGGCCUGAGGAGCUGCUGUCCAGGUGAGU